rnacentral:misc_RNA from 1 species
AAGUCGUAACAAGGUCUCCGUAGGUGAACCUGCGGAGGGAUCAUUAAUAGUAGCCAGCCCGAUUAGCAAACGGCGAAAGCCCGACGCUUAAUGGGGCUAGUAUAACAUAUGUGUUUAGGGGGGUAAUCAUCUCCCUAAUAUUUCAUACUUCACAAAGCCCUAAUACGCUUUGGCCAAACAAACAAACAUAUUCUACAGGAACAAAAAAACAACACACCCCAUUGGAUACCUUGGUUCCCAC